UACGUAGGGGCCUAGCGUUGUCCGGAAUCAUUGGGCGUAAAGAGCUCGUAGGCGGCUUGUCGCGUCGGCUGUGAAAACCUGGGGCUCAACCCCGGGCCUGCAGCCGAUACGGGCAAGCUAGAAUUCGGUAGGGGAGACUGGAAUUCCUGGUGUAGCGGUGAAAUGCGCAGAUAUCAGGAAGAACACCCGUGGCUAAGGCGGCUCUCUAGUACGGUACUGACGCUGAGACGCGAAAGCGUGGGGAGCGAACAGG
rnacentral:rRNA from 1 species